rnacentral:rRNA from 1 species
AAUGGGGAAACCCAGUGUGAUUCGUCACACUAUCAUUAACUGAAUCCAUAGGUUAAUGAGGCGAACCGGGGGAACUGAAACAUCUAAGUACCCCGAGGAAAAGAAAUCAACCGAGAUUCCCCCAGUAGCGGCGAGCGAACAGGGAAGAGUCCAGCACCGAACCC